GCGGCAGAGUGCCGGGGCCAUGGUCAUCCCCUGGCUUACUGACAGAGCUCACUGCCCUCCUUUCCCUUCCUCCAGGCUCUCAGCUCCAGCCUGGACCCACUCGGCGCUGUCUCCCUCUGCCACGGAGAGCAGCCUGUGCUACAAACAGGAGAGUCAAGACAAAAAAACAGACGAGAAGGAGAGUGCCCCACGAGGGUGCCCGUGUCCUCUCGCCAUCAAGCCACCAUGGUCCUCGCCAGCCUGACAGCUGGGGGCGUCCUCUCAGGUGGACACCUCCCGGGGAAGGGGCGAUUUAUCCUCCUCACUGGCGGCCGCGGGCUCUGCAUGCCUCAAGGAUUACACGCUGAGUGAACUCUGUCGGCAGCGAGUCAACGGGAGGCAGGACAACGCGUUCCAUUGUUCCCACCCGCCUUCCCAGGGCCCUGAUUGGCAAGAAAAUGUCUCCGAGAGAUGGAUUGAAAGAAAACAUUCCCCAGGCCGAGGUCUCCCCACCAGACUGAUUAGCUACCAGCACUCAGAUGGCUCUUUGCAAGACUGGUGGACUGCAGUCUUUUCUGUUACCAAAAAGGCUCUCUUCUCCCUCAUCGACCCCUGUUACCUGGGAAAUUAACUUCAAAAUGAGGGGGUCCCUGGGGACCACCCACCCCGACUUCCCAGGGCAGGCCAAACUGAAAAUACUCCACCUAUCACUAUUUAUUAGUGUAACUGUUACUAACAGUUUAUUGAGCAUUUACUAGCGUCAAACAUCGUACUAAGCUGCGUUAACUGUCUCAACAAUAGUUAUCAGACAGCAUCAGGCAUACAGUAUUCGUCUGCAUGUGAUGAGGCCUGCCUCCUCCUCAGUCCUGACCACGCAGCCUGGCCGGCUCAUGGCAGCCCUGGCUCUCCCUCAGCGGGAGGCACAGUGAGGGGUCUCAGAAGGGAUGCGUGCAGCCGCGGGCUUACGACCACCCAGCACGGGUCAUCACAGCCAUGUGUGUGUCAUCGCACUGGAUAAAUGACAUCAAGGAGAGGGCCAUGCAGAAUGCCUUCCCUUUAUCUGAAGGGCCUGGGCCAGUCACUGACCAAAGGGGACUGGUGGAGGUUUCUAGGGGCGGAAAGGAGCUGGGAGCCGAAGGAAGAGAUGGGAUACAAGAGAUGGACAUGCAGGAGGAAGACGUGUCAGGCCUGUGCAGAGCAGAGGCAGAAGGGAGAGCCUGGAAGGCCAAAGCAAGGAGCUGGGAAGCAGACUGUUCCUGCGCCUGUUUCCUGUGUGCAGAGCUCUCCUGUGAGAUCCACCGGCCCGCUUCCCCAGCCUCAGAAAAUGUUGCCAGAAGUUCACUGCAGGGGAGGCAGUUGUACAAGUGAGAAAACGCCUUUCAAGGAUGGCACCUGUUUGUCAUUCAUUCCUCUCACUCCAUCCUGGUCAGACACCACUAGUCAACCAUGGGCUCUCCAGAAAGUCUCUAGCAAUUGAUCAGAGUUUAUGCAUGAAACAAAACCCUUUGGCUAUACAUGCUUGGCUCAGGUGAUUUUUACCUCCUCAACCCCCUCUUAUGUUAUUUAUGGCCAUAACUUUCCACCCUUUUGACCACCAAACAUGGGCCCAUGGCCUCGUGUGGCAGCCUGCAGCCAAGCUCCAGCCCACUGCCCUGAGUGCAGGCUGUCUUCUCCAAAUCACGCGAGAAAGCACGUACCUGGCAUGGCACUUCGGAGCAUGGCUGUUUGAGGGGUUGACCUUGGGUUUUGGACCAAAUGCUGCCUUCCCUGGGACCUAUCUCUCCCUGUUAGAAAGGUAUGCAUAUGACAGCAAUAAAAUGGAAACCAAGCCAGGACUGUGUAGAGCCUGGAGAGGCCAGCGCCAGGGCCAGUGGAGCCUUGGGCCAAACAGAACUGGCCAGGCAGAUCCACUGACAUGAAGUCUUGCAACUUGGACCUUCCACCAUAAGAGGCCCUCUCCCUAUCUGUCUUCCAAGCAGUCCCAGUGAGAUGGAACAUUGCUACCUAGGAAAAAAACCUCUGAACACACUCAUUCCUGCCUUCUCAAAGCUUUCUGUCUCUGUUACAAAAACACACACAAGCUUCAGCUAGGAAUACGAAAAUAAAAGAAUAAAAGUGAGCAAAAGAGCAGAAUGGUUAUAAGAAGAGAUGGAGGGGAGUUCAAUGCAUCCUGAACAGUGGCCUGGGGCCCCAUGCUCAGAAGGGCCCUGUGACUGUUCAAUACUCUGAUGUCGCCAUCUUGAAAUUCUGAACAAUCUUGUUUUUUCACCAGCUCAUUCCUGCUGGAGACCUUGAGGAGAUGGUGCAGGACCUGCCUCAGCCUAGCCCCACCCCCCACAGGGAUGGUCUUGAUUCCUGUCUCCUGUACAAUGUCACGAACCUCC